rnacentral:rRNA from 1 species
GCCCUUCGGGGCUCUUUGGUGAUUCAUGAUAACUUUUCAGAUCGCAUGGCCUUGCGCCGGCGACGGUUCAUUCAAAUUUCUGCCCUAUCAACUUUCGAUGGUAAGGUAUUGGCUUACCAUGGUUUCAACGGGUAACGGGGAAUGGGGCGGGGGCGGCGGGCCGGGCGCGGGGCGCGGCGGGCG